rnacentral:lncRNA from 1 species
CAGAACCGAAUCUAGAUUAGAACAUCAACAUCCCCUGUUUCUCCGCGUUGUAACCAUGUCACCUUCUUCCCAGAUUUCUUCUCAGCCGCUUCCCAAACCGAGAUCCUCACAAUCUUCUUCCGGAUUCCUCUCUCCCACGAUUGUAAUCCAGUCGUCCGCAGCCUUCCUCCCAGCUCACGAAUCCGUCCGAGUUCAUCCUUAUCCCA